CUUAUUCGUACUUAUGUCGUGGUUAUGACGUGCCUUUAAAACAUUGAUUAACGUUAUAAUUAAUUAAUAGAUAAUAGAUACCUAAAGCUACACAUAAUCGUCGUAAUUCUGAAAACAAUUAAACAUAGUGUUUUUCAUUUUUAGUUGUGUAAUUUUCUCACAAAUAGUAACCAUUAAAAUCGUCAUUAUUUUAAAGUUUAACUAGUUAAUUGCUUAAUUUUGUUUUAAUGCAGUAUUUUUCAUUAUGAUUUACUUAAAAAAUUAUACGUAUUCCCUAUUUUUCUACAGUACUUUAAGCUGCCGUAGAGUAAAUUGUAUUUUGGAAUAAAUUACAAAACAGAAAACUAACACAUCAAGAAUCCUUGCCAAUAUGGAACAGAAAAGCACAAAUAAUAGUGAUGAUAAUGAUGGGGAGUUAACAACAAAUCAGAUAAAACUUAAGGCUCAAGAACUUGCUAAACGAUUAGAAAAAUAUCAUGGUAGAUACACAUCUUCUAGUCGGUGUAAUACACCUUUGCCUAUUACAUCAGCGGAAAGUAUGGAGUCAAUACAGAGUAACAGUGUUAUCUCUGAUAAUAGCGAGAAAAUUUUGUUAUUUCGACAAGUUUUAGAAAAUGACAGAAAGUUAGUUGAAGAUAGUAAAAUAGAUGAGCAAAAAUUUAAUAAUGAUGAUCAAGCAAAUGAGGAAAAUUUAGAUGCGCAAAAACAUGAAAAAGAGAAACUCAAUGCGACAUAUUAUGAAGAUAUUAUUUCAGCACAAUUUAAUGAAAGAAAUGUACAAUCAUUAAAAAGUCAAAUUGUUGAAUUAAAUGAAAAACUUGAAAAUUAUCGUAAUAAUAUUACUGAAAAGGAUAUGUCAUUGCAAUUAAAAAUUAAUAAAAUUGAAGCAUUAAACAAAGCUUUAGUGGAAAACAAAAAAUUACAUUUAGAAACAGUAGAAGAGUUAAAAAGAAGAAACAUUGAAAUCAUCAAUGAAGAACGUUUAAGAUGUUCUGAAAAGAUUAAUAAUAUUGUAGAAGAAGCAGAAGAAUUAAAAAAUAACUUAGAGGAUGUUCACCGACUCUGUGAUAAAUUAAAAAAAAAAAAUAUUAAAAUUGAAAAAGAAAAUACUGAACUAAGAAAAAAUGAAAUAAGUCUACAAUCAGAAAUUGAAAAUUUAAGUUUAAGCUAUGAGAAUGAAAAGAAGUUGAUUCUAGAACACCAUCAAGAAACUUCAAAACAUCUUAUUGGUGAUAUGGAAAAAGAAUUGCUAAGCUUACAACAAGAAAAUGAUUUUUUAUCAAGCCAUGUAGCUUUAUUGGAGAGUAAAUCAACGCAGCUUCAAGAAAAUGAUAAUUUAUUAAUGGAAAUUGACAAAAAAGAAUCUGAGAUUCAACGUUUAAAUCUUGAAAAUGAAAAAUUAAAUCAACAACUCCAAAAUCAAAUAACGGAUGCUCAACAGACAGAAAGUCGUUGGAUUCAGUUGAAAGAUGCAUAUCUCAAUGAUAAAGAACGUAUGACUCUCUUGGAAAAAGUAAUCGAUGAAUUAAAAAUGAAUAACAAUGAGCUAAAUGAUGCCAAUAUUAAAUUAACUGAACAAAUCGAAAAUUCUAUGGAAAAUUUAAAAUUAUUAAAAGCUGAUAAUGACAAGCAUCAAGAACGUAUUUCUGAUUUGAUGGCAGUUAUAGAAAACAUGCGUGAAACAUUUGAAAAAGCUAUGAAAGAAGCUUCAAAUGAGUAUGAACAAAAUAAAAAAAAUUUUAUUCGACAACAUGAAGAUGAUCAAGCAAUAAUAGCAACUUGUAGCAAUAAACUUAAAGAUAGUAUUACGUCAGUAAAUGAAUUAACUAAUCAAUUAAAUUUUGUUUUAAAAGAAAAUAACUCGUUUAAAUGCGAACGUUUAGAGUUAAAUGAUUGUCUUAGUAAAAGAGAUACAGAAAUAUUAAAGUUGAAUAAUACUAUUACAGAAUUUCAUACACUGUCUACACAAUUAACUAAUGAGUUAGAAAUGGUUAAGAAUGAGAAUAAUAUGCUUUCAGAUAAAUUGAAUGGAACUAAUAUUACGAUGGAAGAUAAUAAAUUAUUAUCAGAUCGAUACCAAAAACAAAAACAACUGCUUAAAGUAAAAAUCAAAGCUUUAAAAGAGUCUGAAAGCAAUUGUUCACUUUUACAACAGCAAGUUGCAUCAUUAAAUAAAGAAAUAAAUGUUUUGAAUCAGAGAUUAGCAUAUCUUAUUCAAAGUAAUAAACAAAUAAGCACUGUCGUACGAAACUGUGAUGUAGAACUUCAAAAGUGUUACGAGUUAAUAAAUAAAAUUGUAAUUAAAUCAAACGUACAAAAUCAAAACAUACAUAUACUUCGUUGUGUUUUGAUGGGUCUGGCAUCAUUAUUUUCUUUUGACGAUUUUGAUGUUGAGGUUGACAUUGAUGUAAUUGAAGUUAUUGAUUCAAUUUGCAACAAUACCAUUCUUGAUGAUACUGAACUACAAAUUUAUCUUAAAAAAAUUGUCUUUGGUUCUAUUCAGAUUUUAGAAUAUAUUAUUAAUUUAAAUAUUUCUCAAAAACGUUCUAAUGCACAAUUAAUUGACCGUUCUGAAGUUGAAAAAUUUGUAUCUGAAGCUGUAGAAAAAGUUAAAUUAUCCACACAAAAUGAAUAUCAUAAACAAAAUAAUGAACUACUCAAAAUAAUAGAAAACUUGCAAAAUGAUAAUUAUACAUUAAAAUUAAAUAUGUCUUCUUCUACUUAUGAAAAUAAAGAAGUAUUAACAGAUUUAAAUGGUCUUGCAGUAAACAGUCUUCUAUCUUCAGAAAAUGUAAAUAUAAAAUCUAUUAAAAAUGAAAACGAUAUGUUUAAACAAUUUUUAAAAAAUAUUCGAAAAAAUUUGGGUUUGGUUAUUAUCAACGAAAAAGAUGAUGAAGAGUUACUAAAUUCUGUAAGUACACUUGAAUUCCAUGUCCAUGAAAUAAAAAAUGAAAAUAAACUGUUAAACAAUCAAAUUAGUGAACUCCAGAGAUUGAUUUCAUCGAAAACAGUGGAACAACCUAUUGAACAGGAAACUGAUAAAUAUUCAAAUUUAAAUUCACAAAACGAAUUUAUUCAAGGUAUAGAAAACGAUAAAGAUAAAAAAAAGUGUCUGAGGAUGUAUGUUUGAAGAGACUAGACCCAGAAAUAAUGACUUCUACAGAAAAUGGAGAUUCGAAGAUUUUGCUAGUACGUUACAAAAACUUAAAAUCUCGAUUCAAAGAAUGUCGUGCUAAAAUCAUUGACUUAGAAAAACAAAUUGUUAACUUGACAAAUGAUUUAGAAUCUGCAAAUUCUAAGUACAAACAAUUAAAUGAUCAAUAUUCCAAUGAAAAUGAAACUCAUGAAGCAGAUAUAAUCCAUUGUCAAUCAGAAAUUGAAAAUCUCAUGGGUGAAAAACUCGAAGCUUAUCGUCAAUUGUCUGCACUUAAGGAAAAACAUGAAAUAUUGCAAAAUGAUUAUGAUCAGCUUAAAAGUAAUCUGGAUGAUCAGAAAUCUUUGAAUGAUAUGGAUACAGAUUCUAUACACAUUAAUGAACAAAAUACAGUUCUAAAAGGGAAAUUAAAAGAAACUCAACAUUUAAUUGAUUCAGCUUAUUCAAGAGUGUUAAGCGAAUGGCCAGCAAUUGAAAAUGAUAGUGACUGGGUAGUUGUUCAAUCUAAAAAAUUGGAUAAAAUAGUUGAAGCUAAAUGUUGUGACACUUUUAAUGGUCCUAAUUUAGAAGAAUCAGAAAUUAAACGAUUACAAGCUUGUGUUCAAACUAUUCAUGAAUUAGUUACUUCUAUUUUAACUAAUAUAUGUAAUAUUGAAGUUUCUUCAAGUGAUGUACUAAUUGAUUUAAUGUCUGACUUAAAAUCUUGUACACAAACAUUAUUAGAAUUCAUAUCUGUUAAAAAUAAUAAAUCUGCCAAUGAACUUCAUAAAGAAUUAGCUCAAAAUAAUGUUGUUAAAGACAGCAAUUCUUGCAUUCCUGAAGAACCAAUAAAUAGAUCUCUAAAUUCUAGUGAAGAAACAACACAAUCCUCUAUUUUAAAAAAUGGAGAAAACGAACAGCUACAGCGGUCCAUUGCUGAGCGUGAUAGAUUAAUUGAAUUUCUUUCUGUUAAAAUAUCAAAAUUAGAUAAUUUAAAUCGAAAUGUUGAUGAUAUAAAAUUAGUUCAAGAAAAACUGGACAGAGCAUUAACAGCUGUACAUGAGAGAGAUGUUAGAUGUGACGAAUUAACUAUAGAAUUGACCCGGUUAUUAGAAGAACGUGAUAUGCUGCAAUUGAAACUAUCAAAUUCUAUCAGACAAAUUCAAAUUUUGUCUGACAAUAAGUCGCAAUUGGGUACAUCAAAUUUGUUUGAUGAAAAAAUUGAUUUAAAAAUCAUGGAUGACAAACUAGAAGAAUUGCAUAGUUUAGAGUAUAGAAGAGAUGCUGAAUUGUUUACUAAUCAAGAACAGAGACAUAUGUCACAAAUGCAACUCCAUCAAAGUGGUCAAGAUAAUUCUAUAGCAUCAGGAGCAAAUCCACUUAAAAGUACAGAAGAAGCAAAUACUGCACUAUCCUGGUUUAAAGAUAUAUUAUGGUGAAGGUAUUGAACUUGUUAACUUUAUCAUCUUAUUUUAAUAUAUAUUUAUUAAGAUUAACUAGGUAUUGUUAUUUUGUUUUUAAUUGGAAAUAAACAUUAGUUAUUCGUAUUAUAAAAUUAAAUAUUCAUCUCUUAUCUGUUAAAAUAUUUGUUUUAUAUGUAUUAAAAUGAAAUUUACCUGCAUAAAUAUAUUAUAUACUUUUUAAUUUCUAAAAAGUUA